CUACGGGAUGCUGCAGUGGGGAAUAUUGGGCAAUGGGCGCAAGCCUGACCCAGCAACGCCGCGUGAGGGAAGAAUGUCUUCGGAUUGUAAACCCCUGUCCUUAGGGACGAAAAAAAUGACGGUACCUAAGGAGGAAGCUCCGGCUAACUACGUGCCAGCAGCCGCGGUAAUACGUAGGGAGCAAGCGUUGUCCGGAAUUAUUGGGCGUAAAGGGUGCGUAGGCGGUAAUCCAAGUCAGAUGUGAAAGACCCGGGCUUAACUCGGGAGGUGCAUUUGAAACUGGGUUACUUGAGUACAGGAGAGGUAAGUGGAAUUCCUAGUGUAGCGGUGAAAUGCGUAGAUAUUAGGGGGAACACCAGUGGCGAAGGCGACUUACUGGACUGUCACUGACGCUGAGGCACGAAAGCGUGGGGAGCAAACAGGAUUAGAUACCCGGGUAGUC
rnacentral:rRNA from 1 species